rnacentral:rRNA from 1 species
UACGUAGGGCGCAAGCGUUGUCCGGAAUUAUUGGGCGUAAAGAGCUCGUAGGCGGCUUGUCACGUCGGAUGUGAAAGCCCGGGGCUUAACUCCGGGUCUGCAUUCGAUACGGGCUGGCUAGAGUGUGGUAGGGGAGAUCGGAAUUCCUGGUGUAGCGGUGAAAUGCGCAGAUAUCAGGAGGAACACCGGUGGCGAAGGCGGGUCUCUGGGCCGAUACUGACGCUGAGGAGCGAAAGCGUGGGGAGCGAACAGG